rnacentral:rRNA from 1 species
UGGGGAAUUUUCCGCAAUGGGCGCAAGCCUGAUGGAGCAAUACCGCGUGAGGGAGGAAGGCUUUUGGGUUGUAAACCUCUUUUCUCAAGGAAGAAGUCCUGACGGUACUUGAGGAAUCAGCAUCGGCUAACUCCGUGCCAGCAGCCGCGGUAAUACGGUGGAUGCAAGCGUUAUUCGGAAUUAUUGGGCGUAAAGCGUCCGCAGGUGGUAACGCAAGUGGGGUGUGAAAGCCGCCAGCUCAACUGGCGGAGGCCAUCCCAAACUGCGUCACUUGAGGCCUGUAGAGGUAUGUGGAAUUGCCGGUGUAGUGGUGAAAUGUGUAGAGAUCGGCAGGAGCACCCAGGGGGAAACCAGCAUACUGGACAGGUCCUGACACUCAGGUGCGACAGCGUGGGGAGCGAACCGGAUUAGAUACCCCCGUAGUCC